UGGGGAAUCUUCCGCAAUGGACGAAAGUCUGACGGAGCAACGCCGCGUGAGUGAAGAAGGUUUUCGGAUCGUAAAACUCUGUCUUUUGGGGCGAACGUGAGUAUGGUGAACAAUCAUAGUCAGUGACGGUACCAAAGGAGGAAGCCACGGCUAACUACGUGCCAGCAGCCGCGGUAAUACGUAGGUGGCAAGCGUUGUCCGGAAUUAUUGGGCGUAAAGAGCGCGUAGGCGGGAUAGUCAGUCUGUUGUAAAGUGCGGGGCUCAACCCCGUGAUGGCAAUGGAAACAGCUAUUCUUGAGUGCAGGAGAGGAAAGUGGAAUUCCCAGUGUAGCGGUGAAAUGCGUAGAUAUUGGGAGGAACACCAGUGGCGAAGGCGACUUUCUGGACUGUGUCUGACGCUGAGGCGCGAAAGCCAGGGGAGCGAACGGGAUUAGAUACCCCGGUAGUCCUGGCCGUAAACGAUGGGUACUAGGUGUGGGAGGUAUCGACCCCUUCCGUGCCGGAGUUAACGCAAUAAGUACCCCGCCUGGGGGAGUACGGUCGCAAGACUGAAACUUAAAUGAAUUGAC
rnacentral:rRNA from 1 species